AGACAUCUGGGCAAGUCAACAGGAAGGUGGAUAUCCAAAUCUCUCUCUUCGCAAUGAGUUUCCAGUUAGAUGGAGGAGAGAGUAAUAAAACACAGAGCUGAGAUUCCUGACUUCACAGAUCCCUGAGGAGAUGUUUACUAAAGGGAAUCUUCUGGUCACUGUUACCUUCCUCCGUACUUACCUGCCUCAUGGAUAACACUGAAGAAUGCAGUUUACUUACAUCUUUUUCUGUUUGACAGAAGACAGUUAUUAGAACCCGAAAGGAAGAAGCUAUACGACUGGGGACACAUGUCUUAGAAGCACACUCAUUAGAUAAAGUGUCGCAUACUCUUUGAUAAGAGUCUCACACUGUUGCCCAGGCGGGAGUGCAGUGGCACAAUCUCGGCUCACUGAAACCUCCACCUCCCAGGUUCAAGCGAUUCUCCUGCCUCAGCCUCUUGAGUAACUGGGAUUACAGGUGCCCGCCACCAUGCCCGGCUAAUUUUUUGUAUUUUUAGUAGAGAUGGGGUUUCACUAUGUUGGCCAGGCUGGUCUCGAACACCUGACCUCAUGAUCCAUCUGCCUCAGCUCCCAAAGUGCUGGGAUUACAGGUGUGAGCCACUGCACCCAGCCGAAAUAUUUUCUUUUCUUUUUCUUUCUUUCCUUCUUUUUAAAAAAAUUCUGUAGCUGAUCCCUGAUGGCUUUUAAUUUGAAUAAAACUUUAUUUAAAGAAA
rnacentral:lncRNA from 1 species